rnacentral:rRNA from 1 species
UAGGGAAUCUUCCGCAAUGGACGCAAGUCUGACGGAGCAACGCCGCGUGAGUGAAGAAGGAUUUCGGUUCGUAAAACUCUGUUGUUAGAGAAGAACAGCGCAUAGAGUAACUGUUAUGCGUGUGACGGUAUCUAACCAGAAAGCCACGGCUAACUACGUGCCAGCAGCCGCGGUAAUACGUAGGUGGCAAGCGUUGUCCGGAUUUAUUGGGCGUAAAGCGAGCGCAGGCGGUCAAUUAAGUCUGAUGUGAAAGCCCCCGGCUCAACCGGGGAGGGUCAUUGGAAACGGGUUGACUUGAGUGCAGAAGAGGAGGGUGGAAUUCCAUGUGUAGCGGUGAAAUGCGUAGAUAUAUGGAGGAACACCAGUGGCGAAGGCGACUCUCUGGUCUGUAACUGACGCUGAGGUUCGAAAGCGUGGGUAGCAAACAGG